UACGUAGGGGGCAAGCGUUGUCCGGAAUCAUUGGGCGUAAAGAGCGUGUAGGCGGUUCGAUAAGUCUGCGGUGAAAGCCCGGGGCUCAACCCCGGGUCGGCCGUGCGGACUGCCGGGCUGGAGCACUGUAGAGGCAGGUGGAAUUCCGGGUGUAGCGGUGGAAUGCGUAGAUAUUCGGAAGAACACCAGUGGCGAAGGCGGCUCACUGGUCCGGUACUGACGCUGAGGUGCGAAAGCGUGGGGAGCAAACAGG
rnacentral:rRNA from 1 species